rnacentral:misc_RNA from 1 species
UAUUGUUGAGCGUGUGCGUGUGUUUCACUGAAGUCACAUCGAUUGCUGUGAAGGGGUUGAACGGGCCGUCAAGAGCCGAACCAUCCGUUUCUCACGAAGAAAUUAGCCUGUGCACACCAGCACACAGACACACGUCACCUUUACGACGCGCUGGCACGGACACCUAUCGUCCUCCUCUUGCGUCUUACAUUGUGUUUUUUUUUUGUUUGUUUGUUUUGCUGGUGCUACUCUAAUACGCAGUUUCUACUCAUGGCGGAGUCGGCGGCGCCAUCUGGCCCCAUUGUGGCGGACUUGCACCACAAGUUUGUGCACGAGCUCGACGACAACACCCAAUGGAAGGCGCAGCAUCUCAAGAUGAACGGCGUCUACUGGGGACUCAGCUCACUUGUGCUGCUGCACCGAAUGGACUAUAAGCCGGACGACGUUGUGGGUUUUGUGCUGUCGUGCUACAACAGCGACGGCGGCUUUGGCGGGAAUGCCGACAUGGAUUCCCACUUGCUCCACACCAUGUCCGCAGUGCAGCUGCUGUGCAUGUUCGACGCAGUCGCGCGCAUUGAUGUGGAGCGGACGGUUCGCUGGAUUGCGUCGAUGCAGCUGCCGGACGGCUCCUUUCAAGGGGACGAGUGGGGCGAGGUAGACACUCGCUUCUCCUACAUCGCGCUCAGUUGCCUGCGCCUGCUGGGGCGCUGCGAGUGCGUCGAUGUCGAGGCGGCUGUCCAGUAUGUGCUGCGGUGCCAGAACUGGGACGGCGGCUUCGGCGUCUCGCCAGGAGCGGAGAGCCACGCAGGCCAGAUCUUCUGCUGCGUGGGUGCAUUGUGCAUAGCGAAUGCCCUCGAUCGCAUCGACAGGGAUCGGGUGGCGGCGUGGCUAGCGAUGCGCCAGCUUCCCUCCGGCGGCCUCAACGGGCGGCCGGAGAAAAAGGCGGACGUGUGCUACAGCUGGUGGGUCGUAUCGUCCCUCUCCGCUCUUGGCCGCACAAGCUGGAUUGACAAGGAGGCACUGUUUCAGUACAUCCUCAGCUGCCAGGACACGCAGGACGGCGGAUUUUCCGACAAGCCAGGCAACCAACCAGAUGUGUAUCACACCUUCUUUGGCCUGUGCGGGCUUAGCCUUCUGGGGUACGAGGGGUACAAGCUGAAUCCCAUCAACCCCGUGUACGCACUGUCCUACGACAUUUUGGAUCGCCUGAACAUCGCACCAGAGCACGGCUCGCAGGUUGGACGGCGUGUUCCACGAUCAUGAUGGGGUGCGGUGCGCUUGCAGCAGCGCUGGGAGAUGGUGGGGCGAUUGCGAGCACGUUGUCGCGAUGCGUCCCUCGCACGAGAGACGGUUUGUGUGCUUGCUUUCACGUGUGCUUAUGUGCGCCACACCCACUCCGUGACACAACCGAGCGCAUGCAUGCACAUCGCCUCAUCCCCUCAAAGGCGACGGGCAACAAAAGGAGCCUCCGUGUUUGGAUGCGUGAAGGGGGGGGGGGCUCCCUCUCGGCAGACCUUUUCCAGACUUCUCUGGUGUUGUGUGAGAGUGGGACGGAGCGCUCCGCAUUAGCCCCGUCUGCACAAAUGGCGCCGGGCGGCGCCACUCCUUCGCCUCUUGUC